AAUCUAAAUAUUCAAUCAGAUGCAUUCAGAUCAAAAUAAAUCUGAAACCUCUUCUCUUCUACGUUGAUUCGAAAAUUUUAACAUAAACCCUAAAACAUCUUUCCUCUUUCUUCUUUGCGAUUCACGCUAAACUUUCAGUGAGCAACCAAAGAGAUUCCUACAGUUGCUCGCGAUACGUUGCACGGUGGUGCCACCACUGCGCUGGUGGAUUUGGUGCGAUAUCGAAUUUUUUUUGAAACUUGGAGAAAGGCAUUGGUUGCGGUCAUGCUACCUAUGGGAAGCCUGGGGUGAAGGUCCACUAGGGUUUGGUUUACUCUUCAGCUGUCGCAUAACACAGGCUUCACAAUUAUAUUUUAUCUUUGUCAAAAAUCGAACUUGAUCAUUUUCAAAGAACAAAGAAGUUUUUGAGUGAAAGCAUAACAAAGAAGAAUAGUUUGUGCCUUAGAGAACAACGCCAAAAUGUCGGUGCUGAUCGUGACGAGCUUAGGGGACCUUGUGGUCGAUUUGCACACCAACAAAUGCCCCUUGACCUGCAAAAAUUUCUUGAAGCUUUGCAAGAUUAAGUACUAUAAUGGGUGUUUAUUUCACACUGUUCAAAAGGAUUUUACAGCUCAAACUGGCGAUCCAACUGGCACAGGAACUGGUGGUGAUUCUGUUUAUAAGUUUCUUUACGGCGAUCAAGCUCGAUUUUUCAGUGAUGAAAUUCAUAUUGAUCUUAAGCAUUCGAAAACUGGAACGGUUGCCAUGGCAAGUGCUGGGGAGAAUUUAAAUGCUUCACAGUUCUAUAUCACACUGCGAGAUGACCUUGACUACCUCGAUGGCAAGCACACAGUCUUUGGUGAGGUAGCUGAAGGAUUUGAGAUUUUAACUAAAAUAAAUGAGGCUUACGUGGACGACAAAGGAAGACCACUUAAAAAUAUAAGAAUCAAGCACACAUACAUCCUAGUGGAUCCUUACGACGAUCCUUCUGAACUAUCGGAGUUCAUUCCUGAAGCUUCUCCAGAAGGAAAACCUAAAGAUGAGGUUGAUGAUGAAGUACGACUUGAAGAUGAUUGGGUGCCCAUGGAUGAACAAUUAAAUCCAGCAGAACUUGAGGAGGUUAUCAGAUCAAAGGAAGCACAUUCUAGGGCAGUUGUACUUGAGAGUAUUGGGGAUAUUCCUGAUGCUGAGAUUAAACCUCCUGAAAAUGUAUUGUUUGUCUGUAAAUUGAACCCAGUUACUGAGGAUGAGGACUUGAAUACUAUAUUUUCUCGCUUUGGAACUGUAUCAUCGGCAGAAAUCAUCCGUGAUCACAAAACUGGUGACAGUUUAUGCUACGCUUUCAUAGAAUUUGAGGACAUAAGGUCAUGUCAGGAAGCAUAUUUUAAGAUGGAUAAUGCUUUGAUUGAUGAUCGAAGGAUACAUGUGGAUUUUAGUCAAAGUGUGGCAAAAUUGUGGUCCCAAUACAGGCGUAAAGAUCAAAAGGGUAAAGGUGGUGGUUGCUUCAAAUGUGGCUCUACAGAUCAUAUUGCCAAGGACUGCACUGGAGAUGCUACAAUGAAACAACCACAAACAAAAUACAUUUUAAAGGAUGAUAAUACCCAACGUGGUGGAGAUAAUUCGAGAUAUGAAAUGGUUUUUGAUGGAGAUGAUAACCCAGAAAGUCCAAGGCAAGAUGUAAAACACCGAAAGCAUGACAGGGAUGACCCAGUUGAGAAAAAAGUUAGGGAAGAAAAUUUUAAAGAUCAUAGAAGUAGUAGGGAACGGGAUACGGUAAGAGAUAGGUACGGUGAUAGAAGCAGAGAGCAUGGGGGAAAUGGAGAAAACAAAGCACGAUAUGACAGAGGUGCAAGAGAUUUGGAUUCGAAUGCUGACAAGAAAGACAGAGAUAGGCACAAGGGUAGACAUGGAAAUGAUGAUUACAGGUGGAAAGUUGAUCAUGAAUCCAGAAAAGAAGAGGAUGAUGGCUACAAGCGUAAAGAUGAGCGAGACUCUAGAAGAAGAUAUGAAGAUGAUAACUACAAGCGUAAAGAUGAGCGAGGCCCUAGAAGAAGAGAUGAAGAUGAUAGGAGAAACACAGAUUCUAGCCAUUUGGAGAGAAGGAAUGACAGUGGUUAUAGGAAGAGACCUGAAGACAGUGGAAAGCAAGAUGUGAAGAUUGAUUCUGGACGAAGAAAGAGAAGUCCAAGUGAUGAUUACAAAAAUGGAAGGAAAGAUGAAGAUUACAGACAUAGAAAGGAAGAACGAGGGAAUAAAAGGCAAGAUAUUGAAGCUGAUGAGGAUUACAAACGUAGAAGGGAGGACGGAGAUUACAGACAUAGAAGGGAGGAACGUGGACACAAAAGACAAGAUGUUGAAGCUGAUGAUUAUCCUCAUAAGAGGCAUCAUGGUGACAGGAGAUGAUUAUUGGUCUCACUAUAUCCUAAUGCUAAGCACAGAACCUUUGAACGACUAUUAUCAUUACUGGUGUUACAUGGGAUGUAAUAACAAAACAGUUCACGCAUGGAUUGGAGAGGACUGCAGAAAAGCAUGUUGGAGAGGGCUUAUUUAUGUAAUCCGUGAUUUCUGAUCUGAGCUAGGGUUAAAGUCAAAAUUGUUUAUGCAUUCAUUUGUAGAUUACGUCAUUAAAAAUGCACUUAUGAACCAGAAAAUA